GUAGUCCACGCCCUAAACGAUGCGAACUGGAUGUUGGGUGCAAUUUGGCACGCAGUAUCGAAGCUAACGCGUUAAGUUCGCCGCCUGGGGAGUACGGUCGCAAGACUGAAACUCAAAGGAAUUGACGGGGGCCCGCACAAGCGGUGGAGUAUGUGGUUUAAUUCGAUGCAACGCGAAGAACCUUACCUGCUCUUGACAUCCUGCGAAUCUCCCAGAGAUGGGAGAGUGCCUUCGGGAACGCAGAGACAGGUGCUGCAUGGCUGUCGUCAGCUCGUGUUGUGAAAUGUUGGGUUAAGUCCCGCAACGAGCGCAACCCUUGUCCUUAGUUGCCAGCACGUAAUGGUGGGAAC
rnacentral:rRNA from 1 species